rnacentral:rRNA from 1 species
GACGUAGGGCGCGAGCGUUGUCCGGAUUUAUUGGGCGUAAAGAGCUCGUAGGCGGCUUGUCGCGUCGACUGUGAAAACCCACGGCUUAACUGUGGGCUUGCAGUCGAUACGGGCAGGCUAGAGUUCGGUAGGGGAGACUGGAAUUCCUGGUGUAGCGGUGAAAUGCGCAGAUAUCAGGAGGAACACCGGUGGCGAAGGCGGGUCUCUGGGCAGUAACUGACGCUGAGGAGCGAAAGCGUGGGGAGCGAACAGG